rnacentral:rRNA from 1 species
GAUGAACGCUGGCGGCGUGCUUAACACAUGCAAGUCGAACGGAAAGGUCCUGCGUUUGCGGGGUGCUCGAUUGGCGAACGGGUGAGAAACACGUGUGUAACCUGCCCUUGUCUUUGUGGUAACUUCUCGAAACUCGGGCUAAUACCGGAUAGGAUCUCUUGCUCCGCGGUGUUGGUUGGAAAGUUUCGGCUGUUGGGGAUGGACUCGCGGCUUAUCCGCUUGUUUGUGGGGUAGGUGCUUACCACGGCUUUGACGGAUAGCCGGCCUGGGAGGGUGAACGGCCACCAGGGUACUGAGAUACGGCCCAGACUCCUACGGUCGGCAGUAGUGGGGAAUCUGGCGGAAUGGGCGGAAGCCAGAGGCAGCGAUGCUGCGUGCGGGAUGCCGGCUUUCGGGUUGUAAACCGCUUUCGCCUGUGACGAAGCGUGAGUGACGGUAAUGGGUAAAGAAGCACCGGCUAACUACGUG